rnacentral:rRNA from 1 species
UUAAGCGACUAAGCGUACACGGUGGAUGCCCUGGCAGUCAGAGGCGAUGAAGGACGUGCUAAUCUGCGAUAAGCGUCGGCAAGGUGAUAUGAACCGUUAUAACCGGCGAUUUCCGAAUGGGGAAACCCAGUGUGUUUCGACACACUAUCAUUAACUGAAUCCAUAGGUUAAUGAGGCGAACCGGGGGAACUGAAACAUCUAAGUACCCCGAGGAAAAGAAAUCAACCGAGAUUCCCCCAGUAGCGGCGAGCGAACGGGGAGCAGCCCAGAGCCUGAAUCAGUAUGUGUGUUAGUGGAAGCGUCUGGAAAGGCGCGCGAUACAGGGUGACAGCCCCGUACACAAAAAUGCACAUGCUGUGAGCUCGAUGAGUAGGGCGGGACACGUGGUAUCCUGUCUGAAUAUGGGGGGACCAUCCUCCAAGGCUAAAUACUCCUGAUUGACCGAUAGUGAACCAGUACCGUGAGGGAAAGGCGAAAAGAACCCCGGCGAGGGGAGUGAAAAAGAACCUGAAACCGUGUACGUACAAGCAGUGGGAGCACGCUUAGGCGUGUGACUGCGUACCUUUUGUAUAAUGGGUCAGCGACUUAUAUUCUGUAGCAAGGUUAACCGAAUAGGGGAGCCGAAGGGAAACCGAGUCUUAACUGGGCGUUAAGUUGCAGGGUAUAGACCCGAAACCCGGUGAUCUAGCCAUGGGCAGGUUGAAGGUUGGGUAACACUAACUGGAGGACCGAACCGACUAAUGUUGAAAAAUUAGCGGAUGACUUGUGGCUGGGGGUGAAAGGCCAAUCAAACCGGGAGAUAGCUGGUUCUCCCCGAAAGCUAUUUAGGUAGCGCCUCGUGAAUUCAUCUCCGGGGGUAGAGCACUGUUUCGGCAAGGGGGUCAUCCCGACUUACCAACCCGAUGCAAACUGCGAAUACCGGAGAAUGUUAUCACGGGAGACACACGGCGGGUGCUAACGUCCGUCGUGAAGAGGGAAACAACCCAGACCGCCAGCUAAGGUCCCAAAGUCAUGGUUAAGUGGGAAACGAUGUGGGAAGGCCCAGACAGCCAGGAUGUUGGCUUAGAAGCAGCCAUCAUUUAAAGAAAGCGUAAUAGCUCACUGGUCGAGUCGGCCUGCGCGGAAGAUGUAACGGGGCUAAACCAUGCACCGAAGCUGCGGCAGCGACGCUGAUGCGUUGUUGGGUAGGGGAGCGUUCUGUAAGCCUGCGAAGGUGUGCUGUGAGGCAUGCUGGAGGUAUCAGAAGUGCGAAUGCUGACAUAAGUAACGAUAAAGCGGGUGAAAAGCCCGCUCGCCGGAAGACCAAGGGUUCCUGUCCAACGUUAAUCGGGGCAGGGUGAGUCGACCCCUAAGGCGAGGCCGAAAGGCGUAGUCGAUGGGAAACAGGUUAAUAUUCCUGUACUUGGUGUUACUGCGAAGGGGGGACGGAGAAGGCUAUGUUGGCCGGGCGACGGUUGUCCCGGUUUAAGCGUGUAGGCUGGUUUUCCAGGCAAAUCCGGAAAAUCAAGGCUGAGGCGUGAUGACGAGGCACUACGGUGCUGAAGCAACAAAUGCCCUGCUUCCAGGAAAAGCCUCUAAGCAUCAGGUAACAUCAAAUCGUACCCCAAACCGACACAGGUGGUCAGGUAGAGAAUACCAAGGCGCUUGAGAGAACUCGGGUGAAGGAACUAGGCAAAAUGGUGCCGUAACUUCGGGAGAAGGCACGCUGAUAUGUAGGUGAAGUCCCUUGCGGAUGGAGCUGAAAUCAGUCGAAGAUACCAGCUGGCUGCAACUGUUUAUUAAAAACACAGCACUGUGCAAACACGAAAGUGGACGUAUACGGUGUGACGCCUGCCCGGUGCCGGAAGGUUAAUUGAUGGGGUCAGCGCAAGCGAAGCUCUUGAUCGAAGCCCCGGUAAACGGCGGCCGUAACUAUAACGGUCCUAAGGUAGCGAAAUUCCUUGUCGGGUAAGUUCCGACCUGCACGAAUGGCGUAAUGAUGGCCAGGCUGUCUCCACCCGAGACUCAGUGAAAUUGAACUCGCUGUGAAGAUGCAGUGUACCCGCGGCAAGACGGAAAGACCCCGUGAACCUUUACUAUAGCUUGACACUGAACAUUGAGCCUUGAUGUGUAGGAUAGGUGGGAGGCUUUGAAGUGUGGACGCCAGUCUGCAUGGAGCCGACCUUGAAAUACCACCCUUUAAUGUUUGAUGUUCUAACGUGGACCCGUGAUCCGGGUUGCGGACAGUGUCUGGUGGGUAGUUUGACUGGGGCGGUCUCCUCCUAAAGAGUAACGGAGGAGCACGAAGGUUGGCUAAUCCUGGUCGGACAUCAGGAGGUUAGUGCAAUGGCAUAAGCCAGCUUGACUGCGAGCGUGACGGCGCGAGCAGGUGCGAAAGCAGGUCAUAGUGAUCCGGUGGUUCUGAAUGGAAGGGCCAUCGCUCAACGGAUAAAAGGUACUCCGGGGAUAACAGGCUGAUACCGCCCAAGAGUUCAUAUCGACGGCGGUGUUUGGCACCUCGAUGUCGGCUCAUCACAUCCUGGGGCUGAAGUAGGUCCCAAGGGUAUGGCUGUUCGCCAUUUAAAGUGGUACGCGAGCUGGGUUUAGAACGUCGUGAGACAGUUCGGUCCCUAUCUGCCGUGGGCGCUGGAGAACUGAGGGGGGCUGCUCCUAGUACGAGAGGACCGGAGUGGACGCAUCACUGGUGUUCGGGUUGUCAUGCCAAUGGCACUGCCCGGUAGCUAAAUGCGGAAGAGAUAAGUGCUGAAAGCAUCUAAGCACGAAACUUGCCCCGAGAUGAGUUCUCCCUGACCCUUUAAGGGUCCUGAAGGAACGUUGAAGACGACGACGUUGAUAGGCCGGGUGUGUAAGCGCAGCGAUGCGUUGAGCUAACCGGUACUAAUGAACCGUGAGGCUUAACCUU